UUUCCUUCUCCUUCUGCAAAAUACUUUAUUGUGAGGAACUCUUGGAAUUUGAUACCCCUUUUGCAAAAAACCCUCCAACCUGCAUUUCCAUUUCCCCGCGGCCGCGAUGCAGCCUCAUAAUUCGAUUCAGUCUCCGCGAUUCAACCUUGUUCAGUUCAGCCUGGUCCGUCCCUGUCUCUAGUCGGCAAUGCGGGCCACCAUCACUCCGCCCAUAGCCCACCGCCCACCGCCAGUCCAAAGGUUGAUUAUAUCAACUGAUUGGCUAGGAAGAUGUAAAUAUUGGAAGAUAUGCUGAAAAAACUAAUACUUUGGUCCAAUAGGUGGGAAAAAUCAAUGCUGAGAGUGAACAGUCCUUUCAACAAUGACACUGAAGAGAGAGUUGAUAAGGGAAGGAAGUCUUGAAGAGUACUUGCCAUAUGGUGCCAGAAACAUGGCCUCGGGCUACUAAAAUAUGUUUUUUUGUCUCCACUUUUUACCCAUUAAUAAAGCUAGUUUAUGGGUGCAAUUUUUUUAAAGGUCGUAUAAUUCUGAUCUUCUCAUACACAGAUUGACUUUUGGUCCUAUAAUGUAUGAAGUGGGGGUAUGUUUAGAAUUAUUUAAUUGACAUAAUCCUCAUGGAUUUCCGCUUUAAGUGGCAGAUUAUGGACAUUCAAUUUAAAGGCCAUUGACUGUUUCUUUCACAUCUUGAGAUAAUGCAAAAAGCAACAAUUACCUAGCUAUCUUGUUUAUUGAAAACUACAGAUAAACGGAAAGAAAGGAAAUCUUUGAAUCAUUAGAUGAAUAACUUACAGACCCUUUAAAAGAGAUUUGCUUGAUUUUUAUGCUUUGCCAAAAUAGACAUGUCUAUAUAGAUCUUUGAAAAAAUACAAAAGAGGGUAAUUUGAGAUUGCAAUCUUGUAACCAUUGUGAUGUUUUCUGCCUAGUUUUGUUUAUUAGUAUUACACCACUUUAUAUUCUAAUUGCUUUCUUUUCCGUUUAUUAGUGAGCAUCCUGUUUUUUGUGCUUAGACUUGUUGCAAAAUAAAGUGCAGCAAAUACGAAAAACCAUGCAUAGUUUACUGUUUUCUAGUGUUUACUUUUGCUAUAGCAUAUAAUAUAUUCUCAAACAAAAAUUGUCUUGAUGCAGUGAUGUCUUUGAUGAAAGCUAUGGCUAAGGAUAUUCAACCUUUACUGGCAAAUGUUCAUGAUGGUGGUUUGCUUAAGGAAGUGGAGAAUUUAACCAAAAACCUUUACUGGCUGAAGUUAAUUAUAGUGGCCUGGCAGGAGAGGAUGUAGAUUACUCCGAUAUUUAGCGUGUGGAUAUGUUUGGAUUAAUUUUAUACAUUAAUGUGGACUGAUUUUCCCAUUGAAUUUGUGUUAGUCACAAUGAUUUUGGAUGAAAGCAGCAUUCAUUUGAUGCCUUUUGCAACGCA